GGAACUUUCAUUUGAAAGGUAUAAUAUGGUAGUUGAGGACCAGAUGUGUACACAUAUACAAAGAAUUUGAGACCCCAAAUGUGAUUAUUGAGCAGCCUUUAUGCAGAGAUUCAAAUAGGUGAGGAUUUUUUAUAAAUAAUUUUUUGGGAAAAAUUUAGCAAAACACUUCUUUAUCUAUUUUUCUUGCUGAGGAUUUAGAAAGUAAGAAAAGAGAGGCUUAAUUAUGAACUUUGGUUUACAAUGCCAAUGUCGAGGCCAUUCUGCUGGUCCUGGGGGCGAUCGUAGACGAUUCUUUCCCCCUUGCACGGUGGAGGGUGAGUCAGCCUCGUUCGUUGAAGGUCCUGAUUUGUCAUUGUGUUAGGCAACCUCCUUCAAAGCAAAGGUCUAUAGUGAUGCCAUUUCGUCUGCUUCAGAGAGUUACCUGAAUUGGAUAUAAGAGCCUCUGAUAAGUGAUAAGCAAAUUUUGAUUAAUUCCCCUUAUAUGGAACCAACAACAACGUUUGGGUCUCUGCCCUUGUGUGUAUUUUUAAUCAAUUAUUGUCAUUGAUAGGAACUGUGAUACAUUUUUAAUAGAAGAAUUCAUGUCAAUGUUUUUUCAUGUAAACAAGUACCCAGUUUGUGUUUAAUGAAUUGGAUUAGUUUGCA